UGGGGAAUCUUGGACAAUGGGGGCAACCCUGAUCCAGCCAUGCCGCGUGAGUGAUGAAGGCCUUAGGGUCGUAAAGCUCUUUCGCCUGUGAAGAUAAUGACGGUAGCAGGUAAAGAAACCCCGGCUAACUCCGUGCCAGCAGCCGCGGUAAUACGGAGGGGGUUAGCGUUGUUCGGAAUUACUGGGCGUAAAGCGCACGUAGGCGGACCAGAAAGUUGGGGGUGAAAUCCCGGGGGCUCAACCCCGGAACUGCCUUCGAUACUGGCAAUCGUAGAGAUCUGGAGAGGCGAGUGGAAUUCCGAGUGUAGAGGUGAAAUUCGUAGAUAUUUGGAGGAACACCAGUGGCGAAGGCGGCUCACUGGCUCGAUACUGACGCUGAGGUGCGAAAGUGUGGGGAGCAAACAGGAUUAGAUACCCUGGUAGUCCACACCGUAAACGAUGAAUGCCAGUCGUCGGGUAGCAUGCUAUUCGGUGACACACCUAACGGAUUAAGCAUUCCGCCU
rnacentral:rRNA from 1 species